ensembl:lncRNA
GUUUUAUUGUUGUUUUUGUUGUUUAUUUAUCUGUGUAGCAAAUCCCAGAAUGCAGACAAACUAUUCUGACAGUUUUUAACAGUAAUUCCUGACUUUACAUUUCUGAAUUGCACAGAGAUGGUUUCUGAUUUUCUGCAGGUUCACUGUGCUAUUUUUGCAUUGUUAAUUUGAGAUGACAUAGAUAAGAGAAGAAGCUUCAUUCAUGAAAUCAAAUUCUGCUUAAAUGGGGAAAAUAUGUGGCACAGAGUCUGCAUUUCCUGACCUUGGUGGAUCAAAAUGCAAGAGGUUUUGCCCUCAAAUGUCACCAGCGAUUUAGAGUGAAGAACUUUAUAUUAACAUUUUUAGAGUUUCUGGAUGUAGGAAAAGGUGCUUAUCAUGAACAAGCCUGAUCAGUCAUCUGUGCACUCACUGAGC